rnacentral:rRNA from 1 species
GACGAACGCUGGCGGCGUGCCUAAUACAUGCAAGUUGAGCGCUGAAGGUUGGUACUUGUACCAACUGGAUGAGCAGCGAACGGGUGAGUAACGCGUGGGGAAUCUGCCUUUGAGCGGGGGACAACAUUUGGAAACGAAUGCUAAUACCGCAUAAAAACUUUAAACACAAGUUUUAAGUUUGAAAGAUGCAAUUGCAUCACUCAAAGAUGAUCCCGCGUUGUAUUAGCUAGUUGGUGAGGUAAAGGCUCACCAAGGCGAUGAUACAUAGCCGACCUGAAAGGGGGAUCGGCCAAAUUGGGACUGAGACACGGCCCAAACUCCUAAGGGAGGCAGCAGUAGGGAAUCUUCGGCAAUGGAGGAAAGUCUGACCGAGGAACGCCGCGGGAGGGAAGAAGGGUUUCGGAUCGUAAAACUCUGUUGGUAGAGAAGAACGUUGGUGAGAGUGGAAAGCUCAUCAAGUGACGGUAACUACCCAGAAAGGGACGGCUAACUACGUG